rnacentral:rRNA from 1 species
CUACGGGGGGCAGCAGUGGGGAAUCUUAGACAAUGGGCGCAAGCCUGAUCUAGCCAUGCCGCGUGAGUGACGAAGGCCUUAGGGUCGUAAAGCUCUUUCGCUGGGGAAGAUAAUGACGGUACCCAGUAAAGAAACCCCGGCUAACUCCGUGCCAGGCAGCCGCGGUAAUACGGAGGGGGUUAGCGUUGUUCGGAAUUACUGGGCGUAAAGCGCGCGUAGGCGGAUCAGAAAGUUGGGGGUGAAAUCCCGGGGCUCAACCCCGGAACUGCCUUCAAAACUCCUGGUCUUGAGUUCGAGAGAGGUGAGUGGAAUUCCGGGUGUAGAGGUGAAAUUCGUAGAUAUUCGGAGGAACACCAGUGGCGAAGGCGGCUCACUGGCUCGAUACUGACGCUGAGGUGCGAAAGCGUGGGGAGCAAACAGGAUUAGAUACCCGGGUAGUC